rnacentral:lncRNA from 1 species
UAUCUGGGGGCCUCUAUCAGCUUCUAGAACACACAGUUCCGUUCUGUGGUUCUACAUCCUUUGUUUUGUGCUCAAGAAGAGCGAGCAGAAUAGGCUGAAUUAGAGCCAUCUGUUUAUGUAAGCAAGAGGCGUCUGGUGCUCUUUUCCUCUCCCUUCCUCUGAGGCAGAGUCCAGGGCAAAGAGUACCAUCGCAUACGAAAAGUGGUGCUUCCACAAAGAGACGGAUGCUGCUCUGAGACCAAAGCUUAGCUAAAAUACAGAGUGGAGAGAGAAAAGAGAAGAGAAUAAAUGUUGACAUCAUUGGAAACUGCCUCAGGCUGCAGCUAACAUUCCUGGUCCUUCCAUCAUUUGUUUAACCUGUGGAAGUCGGGUUUCUAUCAUUUGCAAAGGUCCUUUUAAACCCGCAGCCCUCAUCAUCUUACGAUGGAGUUGUCACAGAAAAACCAAACAACACAUGAGGCACAUUAUUGGCUUCCACUUUAAUAUAACAAAACCCAGGUAUGACACAAAUAAAACUGGAAGAAUACUUACUCUACAGGUUUUUCCCAGGCAAGGGGAUAUAGAAUUUCCCUGAAAAACGAUGAGGAGCGAAGCCAUAGAUGUUAGAUGUUAAUACGAUCUCUAAAGAAGGCAAUUUAUACCCUGACCCUCGCCUGACUCACACAUCUGGCGUGAGGGUUGGAGAAAUGGAUCGCUGAGAAUGCCAGGACCUCAGAAAAGUCUGUGCUUUGAAGAGCACCGAGGACAACUUCUUUUUGCCCCAGUAAAGCUCCAGGAAUUUUUUCAGGCUUGUAAGAAAUCCCAUGUCCAGAUGGUGAGGAACAAUGAUUAGAAAUGCCUGCAGAAGGACUCCAGGA